UGCCCAGCAACUCCUAUCCAUACCUCCUCGCGGUACUGGCCGGGGUACGAGUAACCUUAGGGAAGAUCGGGUAACCAACCCCCGGUGGGAACUUUGGUCAUAUGCUGACAGGGAAGG
rnacentral:ribozyme from 1 species